rnacentral:rRNA from 1 species
UACGUAGGCAGCAAGCGUUGUUCGGAGUUACUGGGCGUAAAGGGUGUGUAGGCGGUUGGAUAAGUGUGGUGUGAAAUCUCCCGGCUCAACUGGGAGGGUGCGCUACAAACUGUCUGACUAGAGUGUGGGAUGGGUAAGUGGAAUUCCUGGUGUAGCGGUGAAAUUCGUAGAUAUCGGGAGGAACACCAGUGGCGAAGGCGGCGACCUGGACGGACACUGACGCUGAGACGCGAAAGCGUGGGGAGCAAACAGG